AGCCUGACCGAGCGACGCCGCGUGCGGGAUGAAGGCUUUCGGGUUGUAAACCGCUGUCAGAGGGGAUGAAAUGUAGGUGGGUUCUCCCAUCUAUUUGACAUAGCCUCAGAGGAAGUACGGGCUAAGUUCGUGCCAGCAGCCGCGGUAAGACGAACCGUACGAACGUUAUUUGGAAUUACUGGGCUUAAAGGGUGCGUAGGCUGCGCAGAAAGUUGGGUGUGAAAUCCCUCGGCUUAACCGAGGAACUGCGCCCAAAACUACUGUGCUCGAGGGAGACAGAGGUGAGCGGAACUUAGGGUGGAGCGGUGAAAUGCGUUGAUAUCCUAAGGAACACCCGUGGCGAAAGCGGCUCACUGGGUCUCUUCUGACGCUGAGGCACGAAAGCUAGGGUAGCGAACGGGAUUAGAUACCCCGGUAGUCCUAGCUGUAAACGAUGAGCACUGGGUUGAAGGGCCCUCCAUAGCCUUUCAGCCGCAG
rnacentral:rRNA from 1 species